rnacentral:rRNA from 1 species
GAUGAACGCUGGCGGCGUGCCUAAUACAUGCAAGUCGAGCGAACAGACGAGGAGCUUGCUCCUCUGACGUUAGCGGCGGACGGGUGAGUAACACGUGGAUAACCUACCUAUAAGACUGGGAUAACUUCGGGAAACCGGAGCUAAUACCGGAUAAUAUAUUGAACCGCAUGGUUCAAUAGUGAAAGACGGUUUUGCUGUCUCUUAUAGAUGGAUCCGCGCCGCAUUAGCUAGUUGGUAAGGUAACGGCUUACCAAGGCAACGAUGCGUAGCCGACCUGAGAGGGUGAUCGGCCACACUGGAACUGAGACACGGUCCAGACUCCUACGGGAGGCAGCAGUAGGGAAUCUUCCGCAAUGGGUGAAAGCCUGACGGAGCAACGCCGCGUGAGUGAUGAAGGUCUUCGGAUCGUAAAACUCUGUUAUUAGGGAAGAACAAAUGUGUAAGUAACUAUGCACGUCUUGACGGUACCUAAUCAGAAAGCCACGGCUAACUACGUG